UACAGAGGUCCCAAGCGUUACUGAGAAUCACUGGGUUUAAAGGGUGCGUAGGUGGUCCGUUAAGUCAGUUGUGAAAUCCCCGGGCUCAACCCGGGAACUGCUUCUGAUGCUGGCGGACUUGAGGCCAGUAGGGGUCACUAGAACUGACGGUGGAGCGGUGAAAUGCGUAGAUAUCGUCAGGAAUGCCGGUGGUGAAGACGGGUGACUGGGCUGGUUCUGACACUGAGGCACGAAAGCGUGGGGAGCGAACGGG
rnacentral:rRNA from 1 species